GGCUAGGUAGCUCAGUUGGUAGAGCAACGGACUGAAAAUCCGUGUGUCGGCAGUUCGAUUCUGCCCCUGGCCACCA
rnacentral:tRNA from 3 species